rnacentral:rRNA from 1 species
UACGGGGGGGGCAAGCGUUGUUCGGAAUUACUGGGCGUAAAGGGCGCGUAGGCGGCCCAAUCAGUCGGGCGUGAAAGCUCUGGGCUUAACCCAGAAAGGUCGUUCGAUACUGUUGGGCUAGAGUGUGGAAGAGGCUACUGGAAUUCCGUGUGUAGCGGUGAAAUGUGUAGAGAUCGGGAGGAACACCGGUGGCGAAGGCGGGUCUCUGGGCAAUUCCUGACGCUGAGGCGCGAAAGCGUGGGGAGCGAACAGG